UAACGACUCUCGGCAACGGAUAUCUCGGCUCUCGCAUCGAUGAAGAACGUAGCGAAAUGCGAUACUUGGUGUGAAUUGCAGAAUCCCGUGAACCAUCGAGUCUUUGAACGCAAGUUGCGCCCAAAGCCUUUUGGCCAAGGGCACGUCUGCUUGGGCGUCACGCAU
rnacentral:rRNA from 1 species